rnacentral:rRNA from 1 species
ACGAAAUGCGAUACGUGGUGUGAAUUGCAGAAUCCCGUGAACCAUUGAGUCUUUGAACGCAAGUUGCGCUCAACGCCAUUUURUAGGCCGAGGGCAUGCCUGCKUGGGUGUCACGY